rnacentral:lncRNA from 1 species
GGAUUGUGCACAUGUGGGUGCACCCAUGGGGGCUGGAUUGUGCACCCAGGGAUGAAACCAUAGGGGGAGGAUGGUGCACACCUGAGAGCACCAACAAGGGGAGGAUUAUGCACACAUGGGUGCACCCACGGGGAUGAUUGUGCACAUGUGGGUGCACCUGUGAGGAGGGUUGUGCACCCAGGGAUGAAUCCACAGGGGAGGAUGGUGCACACGUGGAGGUACUCAUGGGGGGAGAAUUGUGCACAUGUGGUAGCACCCACAAGGGGAUGAUUGUGCACACGUGGGUGCACCCAUGAGGAGGGUUGUGCACCCAGCGAUGAACCCAUAAAGGGAGGAUUGUGCACAUGCGGAGGUACCCAUGGGGAUGAUUGUGCACGUGUGGGUGCACCCGUGAGGAGGGUAGUGCACCCAGGGAUGAACCCAUGGGGGGAGAAUUGUGCACACGUGGGUGUACCUACAGGGGGAGGAUUGUGCACACGUGUUAGCACCCACAAGGGGAUGAUUGUGCACACGUGGGUGCACCCAUGGGGACGAUUGUGCACGAAUGGGUGCACCCAUGAGGAGGGUUGUGCACCCAGUGAUGAACCCAUAAAGGGAGGAUUGUGCACAUGCAGGUGCACUCACAGGGAGAAUUGUGCACAAAGGAGUAGAGGACUAUGCACACCUGAUAGCACUCACAAGGGGAGGACUGUCCACACGUGGGUUCACCCAUGGGUACGAUUGUGCACGAGUGGGUGCAGCCAUGAGGAGGGUAGUGCACCCAGGGAUGAACCCACGAAGGGAGGAUUGUGCACGUGUGGGUACACUCACAGUGGGAGGAUUGUGCACACGCGGGAGCAUCCGUGGAGGAAGGAUUGUGCACAUGCGUGUGCACCUGCACAGACGAGCAGGGCUACAGGUGCACACUUGCACCUGCACAUGUGCCAGUGCACACAACACGCACAAGCACCAGUGUGCACGCAGACGGGUGCACAGGCGGGUGCACGCCCCCAAGGUGUGACACCACACGGACGUGCAGCACCCACCUCCCCCCCUGCACACGCAGGAUCACACCCACUCUGGUGUGAUCUGGUGGGGGGAGGGCACAACACACCCACAAGCACCGCCGUGCCCCCGCACCCAGGCAGCACCCAUGGGUGCCCCAAGAGCCCCCCAGGCUGGCACUGCAGACCCCCAGCAGCGGUAACGCGGGGAGGGGAAAGGAGUAAGUGUGGGGAAACUGAGGCAGGGAGCGGGGAGGGGGAGGCUGUGCCCGGGGUGGGGGGGGAUGGAAGCUGCAGCCAACUCUCCCAGAGGACCCA